rnacentral:misc_RNA from 1 species
UACGGAGGGAGCAAGCGUUGUUCGGAAUCAUUGGGCGUAAAGCGCGUGUAGGUGGCGUGGAAAGUUGGGUGUGAAAGCCCGGGGCCCAACCCCGGAGUUGCACUCAAAACUCCCUCGCUAGAGUCCCGGAGAGGAAGGCGGAAUUCCCGGUGUAGAGGUGAAAUUCGUAGAUAUCGGGAGGAACACCAGUGGCGAAGGCGGCCUUCUGGACGGUGACUGACACUGAGACGCGAAAGCGUGGGGAGCAAACAGG